GGUUAAGCGACUAAGCGUACACGGUGGAUGCCCUGGCAGUCAGAGGCGAUGAAGGACGUGCUAAUCUGCGAUAAGCGUCGGUAAGGUGAUAUGAACCGUUAUAACCGGCGAUUUCCGAAUGGGGAAACCCAGUGUGAUUCGUCACACUAUCAUUAAC
rnacentral:rRNA from 1 species